rnacentral:rRNA from 1 species
UCGGGAAUUUUGGGCAAUGGGCGAAAGCCUGACCCAGCAACGCCGCGUGAGGGAUGAAGUAUUUCGGUAUGUAAACCUCGAAAGAAUGGGAAGAAUAAAUGACGGUACCAUUUAUAAGCUCCGGCUAACUGCGUGCCAGCAGCCGCGGUAAUACGAAGGGGGCUAGCGUUGUUCGGAAUUACUGGGCGUAAAGCGCACGUAGGCGGAUACUUAAGUCAGGGGUGAAAUCCCGGGGCUCAACCCCGGAACUGCCUUUGAUACUGGGUGUCUAGAGUCCGGAAGAGGUGAGGGGAAUUCCGAGUGUAGAGGUGAAAUUCGUAGAUAUUCGGAGGAACACCAGUGGCGAAGGCGGCUCACUGGUCCGGUACUGACGCUGAGGUGCGAAAGCGUGGGGAGCAAACA